AUGGCGUCCGGCGGCAGAGGCGGCUCGUGGCCGACGAGCCUGAGCACGCCGGAGACCGACGAGCUCAUCCGUCUCGGGAUGAUGGUGCCGCCGGGCUGCCGUUUGCUGCACGUCUUCCGCAUCACCGCCGACGGGUACCCGACGAGGGGGCCCGGCGCGUCGCCGGAUGAGCUCCGCCGGCACGAGGGCGGCCGGUGGAACAUCGUCGGCCGCCCUAGGUUUUGGGAGGGCAAAGACUACUGGGCCGUCGUCGCGCAGGCUCGUCGGGAGUCGCGGACCGGCGGCUCUUCGUCUGGCCCGGGCGGCUCGUCGUCUGCCCCGCGCGGCUCAUCUUCCGCCCCGCACUGGCCCCGCCGUCCCCCUUCGGCGGCCGCGCCGUCUCCAAGCUCGUCCCGCCAUCCGGUUCCCGCCCUCGCCCGGCCCGCCUCCCCUCCCGUCGUCGAGAUCCCGUCGGAGCAGUUUGCACUGCGCGAGGACGGCGACCCCGACGACUGCCCCGACUACUUCAUCGCACUGCGGGCGUCGCAGGCAGAAGCGGCGGCCGCGGAGGCGAGAGAGCCCGCUGAGCUGCAGGCCGCACUCGACGCCGCGGCGGCUAUGGCGGUGGCAGCAGAGGCCGCCGAGCUGCAGGCCGCACUGGAUGCGGCGGCGGCCAUCGAAGCGGUGCAGCCGCAGGUGGCUCCGGAGGAGGGCGACGGCGGAGGCGGCUACUGGGACGACGGCGGCAAGAGCAGCGACGACGGUGACGGUGACGACGACGGUGACAUUGGUAUGCUCUUGCAGCCCGGCCGUGUUAGGGAAUGGCCACGUGGCAACCUAGCACUUCUGCAGUAUCUAUAUUGGGAGAAGGUGCAGCCAAGCACCGGUCCGCGGUAUGAUCCUUUAGCACUGUUGAGCCCCUUGAUGAGGAAUUGGACAGAAGCGACAACAGAGAAAAGAGACAAGUACGACUUUCAAUAUGGUCGUGGUGUUGGAAUGAGGGUCAUAGAGAAAUUGAACAAAAGCACUGUAUUCUACAAAGCCGGUGAUAUUGAAAAAGAAGAAGAGAAUGAGUAUGGUGAAAAUAGUGAAACUAGAAACUAUGGUGGAAAACCUCGUAAAGAAUUUGUAUAUAAUCCUGACAUGGACAAUUUCAAAACACCAGGAAAAAAGAAUGUGCAAGAGGAUGAUGAAGAUGAUAUUAAUGAUUCUGAAGAGAAGAGACCUUAUUAUUGCACACCUGAAUAUUUUGAUAGUUUCAAGGGUGAUAAAGAAGAUCCUAUCGAAGUUCCUGAGGUAUCUGAUGAGAAAUCCGUUACAUCUUUAGGAACAGAUGAAAUCGCAUCACGUGGAUCCGUAGAUUCUAUUGGAGAAGAUGAGGUACAUGAGGAGGUUGUAGGGAAACGGAAGCGGAAGGUAUCAAACCUUAUAAAGUCUCCUUAUGUGCCAGUUAUACCGACAAAGCGUGCAAAACGUUCAGCAAAAGCAAAACUAUUCGAGAAAGAAGUCUUUCAAGAUGAAUACGAUGUGAUUAAAGCUAGUGUUAAGUUUGUUCGUGCUUAUGAGCGGUCAGCAAAACAUAGAAAGAAGGAAAUAUUCAAUGAUGGCAUGCGCGAAGGUCUUAGUGCAGAGAGAGCUUGUAAGAUUCUUGACCAUCAAUGGCUAACCGGUGAUAGAAAACAACUUGGAUAUGACAUACGUAAUGCGAAUGUGAGCGGUGCUGUGAAUUAUCCGGAUGUGUCUACCUGGCCUAUCAACACGUAUACGAUGCCACAACAAGAAGACGGGUGA
rnacentral:rRNA from 1 species